rnacentral:tRNA from 1 species
UGCUGGAUAGCUCAGUUGGUAGAGCACGAGACUCUUGAUGUCAGGACUGUGGGUUUGAGCCCCACAUUGGGCAA